UAGAGACACUAUUCGCUGUCCAGGUAGGGC
rnacentral:piRNA from 1 species